rnacentral:rRNA from 1 species
CCUACGGGUGGCAGCAGUGGGGGAUAUUGCACAAUGGGGGAAACCCUGAUGCAGCGACGCCGCGUGUGGGAAGACGGUCUUCUGGAUUGUAAACCACUGUCCCUAGGGACGAAAAUGACGGUACCUGGGGAGGAAGCUCGUGCAAACUACGUGCAAGCAGCCGCGGUAAUACGUAGGGAGCAAGCGUUGUCUGGAUUUACUGGGUGUAAGGGGAGCGUAGGCGGGGAUGCAAGUUGGGUGUGAAAACUAUCGGCUAAACCGAUAGUCGCACUCAAAACUGGAGCUCUUGAGUGAAGUAGAGGCGGGCGGAAUUCCUAGUGUAGCGGUGAAAUGCGUAGAUAUUAGGAGGAACACCAGUGGCGAAGGCGGCCUGCUGGGCUUUUACUGACGCUGAGGCUCGAAAGUGUGGGGAGCAAACAGGAUUAGAUACCCCUGUAGUC